rnacentral:tRNA from 1 species
GCGGCAUGGCCAAGUGGUAAGGC